AACACACAUUGCGCCCCUUGGUAUUCUGAGGGGUGUGCCUGUUCGAGCGUCAUUACAACCCUCAAGCAUUGCUUGGUAUUGGGCUCCGCUGUUCACCCAGCGCGCCUUAAAAUCAGUGGCGGUGCCAUCGAGGCCCUGAGCGUAGUAAAUAUCCUCGCUAUAGGGACCCGCUGGCCAUCAACCCCCAACUUUCUAAGUUUGACCUCGGAUCAGGUAGGGAUACCCGCUGAACUUAA
rnacentral:misc_RNA from 1 species